AGAGUUUGAUCAUGGCUCAGGAUGAACGCUGGCGGCGUGCCUAACACAUGCAAGUCGAGCGAUCUUCUUCGGAAGAGAGCGGCGGACGGGUGAGUAACGCGUGGGUAACCUGCCUCAUACACAUGGAUAACAUACCGAAAGGUAUGCUAAUACAAGAUGAUAUAAGAGAUUCGCAUGGAUUUCUUAUCAAAGCUCCGGCGGUAUGAGAUGGACCCGCGUCUGAUUAGCUAGUUGGUAAGGUAACGGCUUACCAAGGCGACGAUCAGUAGCCGACCUGAGAGGGUGAUCGGCCACAUUGGAACUGAGACGCGGUCCAAACUCCUACGGGAGGCAGCAGUGGGGAAUAUUGCACAAUGGGCGAAAGCCUGAUGCAGCAACGCCGCGUGAGCGAUGAAGGCCUUCGGGUCGUAAAGCUCUGUCCUCAAGGAAGAUAAUGACGGUACUUGAGGAGGAAGCCCCGGCUAACUACGUGCCAGCAGCCGCGGUAAUACGUAGGGGGCUAGCGUUAUCCGGAUUUACUGGGCGUAAAGGGUGCGUAGGUGGUUUCUUAAGUCAGGAGUGAAAGGCUACGGCUCAACCGUAGUAAGCUCUUGAAACUGGGAAACUUGAGUGCAGGAGAGGAAAGUGGAAUUCCUAGUGUAGCGGUGAAAUGCGUAGAUAUUAGGAGGAACACCAGUAGCGAAGGCGGCUUUCUGGACUGUAACUGACACUGAGGCACGAAAGCGUGGGGAGCAAACAGGAUUAGAUACCCUGGUAGUCCACGCCGUAAACGAUGAGUACUAGGUGUCGGGGGUUACCCCCCUCGGUGCCGCAGCUAACGCAUUAAGUACUCCGCCUGGGGAGUACGCUCGCAAGAGUGAAACUCAAAGGAAUUGACGG
rnacentral:rRNA from 1 species